GAUGAACGCUGGCGGCGUGCCUAAUACAUGCAAGUCGAGCGAACGGACUAGAAGCUUGCUUCUCUGAUGUUAGCGGCGGACGGGUGAGUAACACGUGGAUAACCUACCUAUACGACUGGGAUAACUUCGGGAAACCGGAGCUAAUACCGGAUAAUAUUUUGAACCGCAUGGUUCAAAAGUGAUAGACGGUCUUGCUGUCACUUAUAGAUGGAUCCGCGCUGCAUUAGCUAGUUGGUAAGGUAACGGCUUACCAAGGCAACGAUGCAUAGCCGACCUGGUAGGGUAAUCGGCCACACUGGAACGGACACACGGUCCAGACUCCAACGGGAGGGAACGGCAAGGAAUCGUCCGCCAUGGGCGAAGGCCUGACGCUACAACGCCGCGUGAGGGAGGAAGGGCUUCGGAUCAUAAAACUCUGUUAUUAGGGAAGAACAUAUGUGUCAGUAACUGUGCACAUCUUGACGGUACCUAAUCAGAAGGCCACGGCUAACUACGUG
rnacentral:rRNA from 1 species